GUCGAGUUGCCAGAGUGGUUAAUGGGUAUGACUCGAAAGAUCCUGUAUAGGAUCCGCUAGAUAUCAUAUGGUUUCGGCCGCGUAGGUUCAAAUCCUGCACUCGACG
rnacentral:tRNA from 1 species